rnacentral:pre_miRNA from 1 species
CAUGCACUGGUGGGGUCCCUCAGCCUGGCCUGUGCCCUCUCACAAUCUGGGACCCUUGGGGGAUGACCCCCUGCGUUUCGGCCUGAUCCCCACAGGCCAGGCUGAGGGACCCCACUGGUGCACG